UCUAGGAAAAUCCAUAGACCUGCCAUCAGUUCAGGCUGGGGAUGAGUGAGUAAAUCCAGAGAAAUAGAAGAAGGAUAAGAGUAUCAUUUUGUCUUCCAUGCUACAAGGACCUCAAAGGAGCUUCACAGACAAAUAAUAAUUAAUUGUCCCAGAACCACUUAGGAAUGGUAAAUUACUCUUGUCCUUAUUUUUCAGAAGGGGAAAUUGAGCUGUGCUUGAUGAAACCACUGACUGAUCCCGUGGGGAAGACCGUAACUCGGUUUCUGGACACAGCUGUAGCAGCCUGUGUAACUGUAUUAUAUUGAACUAAGGCUGUCAUUGAGUUUGAGAUCUGUUUUAAACACUGCUGAGGAAACAGUGAACAGAGAGACUAUGAAGAACGUGGAGCUUGGCCUCUAUAUCACUUGAACCAGUCGGGAGAAGAUGGAGAUGCAAUUAUGCAGUGACUUGUCAGAGCUUUCAUGGAUUGAGCACAUCAGCCUUUUACUUUAAUUCAAAGAGAGGACUUAAUAUCUCAGUAAAUCAUCAGAGUUUGUGCAUUUUUAUUAUGUUCCACUAGCUAAAAUUUCCCCUAACUUAAGGAAUAUUUUGUUCAAUUCUCUGAACUGUUUAUGAUGUGAUCCAAAUGGCCUAAGUGGGGUUUUGGACAUCUUCAAAAAGAACUAGACAGUUUUUGAUAACUUUCCCAAAGAUGUAUAUUUGUUAAUG
rnacentral:lncRNA from 1 species